UGCCAGGGUCGCGGCAACUGCGGGGAGAGAUGACUGGGGAGCAACCCAGCACGGCGCUCCCGGGCAGACGCUGGGGGCCGCGGAUUCUGGGCUUCUGGGGAGGCUGUAGGGUUCGGGUGUUUGCCGCGAUCUUCCUGCUGCUGUCUCUGGCAGCCUCCUGGUCUAAGGCUGAGAACGACUUCGGUCUGGUGCAGCCGCUGGUGACCAUGGAGCAACUGCUGUGGGUGAGCGGGAGACAGAUCGGCUCAGUGGACACCUUCCGCAUCCCGCUCAUCACAGCCACUCCGCGGGGCACUCUUCUCGCCUUUGCUGAGGCGAGGAAAAUGUCCUCAUCCGAUGAGGGGGCCAAGUUCAUCGCCCUGCGGAGGUCCAUGGACCAGGGCAGCACAUGGUCUCCUACAGCAUUCAUUGUCAAUGACGGGGAUGUCCCCGAUGGGCUGAACCUUGGGGCGGUAGUGAGCGAUGUUGAGACAGGAGUGGUAUUUCUUUUCUACUCCCUUUGUGCUCACAAGGCCGGCUGCCAGGUGGCCUCUACCAUGUUGGUAUGGAGCAAGGAUGAUGGUGUUUCCUGGAGCACACCCCGGAAUCUCUCCCUGGAUAUUGGCACUGAAGUGUUUGCCCCUGGGCCGGGCUCUGGUAUUCAGAAACAGCGGGAGCCACGGAAGGGCCGCCUCAUCGUGUGUGGCCAUGGGACGCUGGAGCGGGACGGAGUCUUCUGUCUCCUCAGCGAUGAUCAUGGUGCCUCCUGGCGCUACGGAAGUGGGGUCAGCGGCAUCCCGUACGGUCAGCCCAAGCACGAAAAUGAUUUCAAUCCUGAUGAAUGCCAGGUCAGGAGUCCGUGAGAUGUUCCCUACCCAUUUGACCCUCCCUGCCCUCCAGAACAUCAUUUCACACAUAGACCCAGGCUCUGACUGCUCAGCUCAGUGCCACACACCCUGGCUCCCCUCAGGGACAGGGCAUUUUCCCCGUUCCCUCCCUGAGCUCCUGCCCUCUCCCCUCAGCCGUAUGAGCUCCCAGAUGGCUCAGUCGUCAUCAAUGCCCGAAACCAGAACAACUACCACUGCCACUGCCGAAUUGUCCUCCGCAGCUAUGAUGCCUGUGAUACACUAAGGCCCCGUGAUGUGACCUUCGACCCUGAGCUCGUGGACCCUGUGGUAGCUGCAGGAGCUGUAGUCACCAGCUCUGGCAUUGUCUUUUUCUCCAACCCAGCACAUCCAGAGUUCCGUGAGUGCCUCAUGGGUGGGGUCAGCAGGGAGAGCCCUGUGUCUAGACAAGGCCUGGGCAGAGACCCUCUCCCUGACUCUCCUGCUCUCCCCAGGAGUGAACCUGACCCUGCGAUGGAGCUUCAGCAAUGGUACCUCAUGGCGGAAAGAGACAGUCCAGCUAUGGCCAGGCCCCAGUGGCUAUUCAUCCCUGGCAACCCUGGAGGGCAGCAUGGAUGGAGAAGAGCAGGCCCCCCAGCUCUACGUCCUGUAUGAGAAAGGCCGGAACCACUACACAGAGAGCAUCUCCAUGGCCAAAAUCAGUGUCUAUGGGACGCUCUGAGCUGUGCCACUGCCACAGGGGUAUUAGGCCCAGGACUCUGCCUCCAGGAACACGGGUCUGUAGAGGGUCUGCUGGAGACGCCUGAAAGACAGUUCCAUCUUCCUUUAGACUCCAGCCUUGGCAAAAUCACCUUUCCUUUACCAGGGAAAUCACUUCCUUUAGGACUGAAAGCCAGGCGUCCUCUCCCACAGAAAAGUCCUGCCCUCAUCCGAGAAUACUGUCUUCCCAUAUGGGUAAGUGUGGCCCCACCACCCUCUCUGCCCUCCCGGGACAUUGAUUGGUCCUGUCUUGGGCAGGGCUAGUGAGCUGUAGAAUUGAAUCAAUGUGAACUCAGGGAACUGGGGAAGGCUGAGCCUCCUCUUUGGUGUUGGGUAAGAUAACCGACAGGGCUGGUGAAAGUCCCCAGAUGGCAGGAUAUUUGGUUUCAGAGUAAGGACUAGGUGCACCACCACGACUGACUAUUUAUCAAUCAAAAUGUUUGUAACUUAAAAUUUUUAAUGAAGGAUAAUGAAUAUUUGUAGAGUCUCUAUGGUUCUGUCAAUACACAUCUUCAUGUCUGUUUUCCUCAUGUAUCCCUGUGAGCCUGGGUGAGUUCUGGGGAGAAACCUGAUGUGCAUAUUGCCUGUGAAAAUCUGACUUUGGCAAAUCAAAUCCUCUUUUCCUUUUGA
rnacentral:sRNA from 1 species